CCUACGGGAGGCAGCAGUGAGGAAUAUUGGUCAAUGGCCGGAAGGCUGAACCAGCCAUGCCGCGUGAAGGUCAGUGCCCUAUGGGCGUUAAACUUCUUUUGUGCGGGAGCAAUAAUGGUCACGUGUGGCCAGACGACAGUACCGUACGAAUAAGCAUCGGCUAACUCCGUGCCAGCAGCCGCGGUAAUACGGGGGAUGCAAGCGUUAUCCGGGUUUAUUGGGUUUAAAGGGUGCGUAGGCUGGGAGGUAAGUCAGCGGUGAAAUGCCCCCGCUCAACGGGGUGAAGUGCCAUUGAUACUGGCUGGCUGGAAUGCGGAUGCGGUGGGAGGAAUGUGUGGUGUAGCGGUGAAAUGCAUAGAUAUCACACAGAACACCGAUUGCGAAGGCAUCUCACGAAUCCGCGAUUGACGCUGAUGCACGAAAGCGUGGGUAUCAAACAGGAUUAGAUACCCGAGUAGUC
rnacentral:rRNA from 1 species